UACGGGGGGGCAAGCGUUGUUCGGAAUUACUGGGCGUAAAGGGCUCGUAGGCGGCCAACUAAGUCAGACGUGAAAUCCCUCGGCUUAACCGGGGAACUGCAUCUGAUACUGGAUGGCUUGAGUUCGGGAGAGGGAUGCGGAAUUCCAGGUGUAGCGGUGAAAUGCGUAGAGAUGUGGAGGAACACCAGUGGCGAAGGCGGCUUUCUGGUCUGUAACUGACGCUGAGGCGCGAAAGCGUGGGGAGCAAACAGG
rnacentral:rRNA from 1 species